rnacentral:rRNA from 1 species
GAUGAACGCUGACAGAAUGCUUAACACAUGCAAGUCUUUGGCGAAGCUGUGCUUGCACCGCCUAGCCAAGGCGGACGGGUGAGUAACGCGUAAGGAACUUGCCCUGCAGUCAGGGAUAACAGACGGAAACGACUGAUAAGACCUGGUAAAGUCAGGCGGACUCAUGUCCAGCCUGAUGAAAAGAGAUGCUGCAGGAGAGCCUUGCGUCCUAUUAGCUUGUUGGUGGGGUAACGGCCCACCAAGGCGAUGAUAGGUAGCCGGCCUGAGAGGGUGGAUGGCCACAAGGGGACUGAGAUACGGCCCUUACUCCUACGGGAGGCAGCAGUGGGGAAUAUUGGACAAUGGGGGCAACCCUGAUCCAGCAAUUCUGUGUGCACGAUGAAGGUUUUCGGAUUGUAAAGUGCUUUCAGCAGGGAAGAAAAAAAUGACGGUACCUGCAGAAGAAGCGACGGCUAAAUACGUG